UUCUGUAAGGAAAAGAUUGGAAUGAUGAGAAAUUGACCAACAAAAGGUGGUUGCCCAUUUAUAUACCUAGGUGACAUUAAACCUUUUUUUUUAUUUUAACGAAACAGAAUAUUGCUUGAAAGUUCUUGGAAACAAAUCCGGUUUUGUUUUUCCACCAUUUAUCUUAAACUCGGUUAAAAGGAAACCUCUGGACUAGAUUGUUUUUGAGGGAAUUUCUUUGCAUUUUCGGAAUUUGGUGAUUGUUCCACUGAACUUUUUUGUUUUGUUUGUUGUUGGUUUUUUUUUUUUUUUUUUUUUGCAUCUGGAGACAUUACUGCUCAUAUAUUUCAUACAUUUUUAAUGAAGGCAGUGCUGGGAAUUGCAUCAGCGCCCCCUGGUGAGUUGUUGUUGCAGCCCAACAGCUUUGCCAGUUGACCAAAAGAUAGAAGCCAACGCUUUCCUGGCAACCUCUGUGCUAGAAUUAAUGUCUUGGCAGCUUGUCUUUGCAUUAAAGUUAGCCUUGCGAUGGGUCAAAUGUGCAUUUCCCAAUUCCAUGGUAGUUGACAAGUGUUCCUUAGGUCUAAGUGUAAAAAAAGAGUAGCCAACUAAUAGACCGUAUUUCACCUGCUGUUCCUUUUCCAUUUAACAAUCGCUGAAAUUCAGCCACAUUAUCUCUGCCGUUUUUCAAACAAGUACUGUAACAUUGGUGCAUUAAGUCUCUGGUAGCUUCCUCUGUAUAUUGUUUUUUUUUUUAAGCAGGGCUGAAAAUUCUGGCCCUAUUCUUCCAGUGAUGGCACUGCUGUUCGCAUAGCAGCUAGAUCAGUGCCUGCUUGACCCCAGAAGCAUUGCCUAUUUCUGAUAUUCUGAAUUUCUGAUCUAAAGGCGUAUGUGACCAGGUGUUCCCCACGUCAUACAACCCACCGCAUAUUAAUGUUAGUGAUGUGUUAAUCUCAAGAUAACCUGCUUGAUGUGCACACGUGUGUCAAACAAAAAAAAAAGGAAAAAAUUGUUUAAAAGCACACAUCCCAGACUGUCUCACGCAUACAGAGACAAAAACACCGAGACCGUUUUUUUGUGUUUUUUUUUGCUUGGAUUACAUUGUUAGAACGAUGUGAGCUCAGUUGUUGUUCACUUCCUUUAGAUGUGCAAGAACGGAGCUUCCUGUCCCUGGGUGGGAUUUUUUUAUCAUAGGAAAAUACCUCAAUGAGACAGCUUGACUUUGUAAAUCGGAAUAAAUAGCCUGGCAGUUAGCAGUGAUAAUCAAAAAAAAGAGGAAGAUUGAAGGGGUCCAUAUCAUUUUUUUUUCUCCUCCCGCCUUCUAUCUCUUUCGCAUAUGUUAACGUGAUGGUCUUAAUAAGCAAACCUAGUUCACUUCCUGCAGACCCUUAAUCUUAAUCGGAACGAAAGGCAGUUUGUUGCUGGUUAGAGCAACCAGAGAGGGGAGAAUUCUUUGCUCACUUUUAAAAUGGAAAGGAUUCUCACCCAGCGCUGUGCUGGUAUCGGAGCCUUUCGCCUUCUUUGUUCUUUGCAAAACUACCUUUGUGCUAUAUGUGUUUCUGCCUGGAAUUAAUUUGAUUAAGUCUAUCUCACUUUUUUUUUCUUUUCCUUGAAGUGUCCUUGAUGAGAUUCAUGGUAAAAUAAAAAUAAAUCAACUGGGGAGCUGGGGAAGAAUCUCCUUAGAGAAUUAUGUGUAUUCCAUUCUAAACGUUUUUUGUUCUUUCUGCUGGUUUCAUUCAAGGGCACAAGCAUCCAUGGGCAGCAUUUGGCUAAGCUGGAACAGAGAAUUGCCAUUCCCUUUCCUUUUCCUCUUUUGUCUACCAGAAGAUACAUUAUCUUUAUUCCUUUCAGAUCCUCACGUCCUAGGACAUUGAUGACGAACCUUUUUGGAACCUUUUUGGAGUGUCAAAAAGGGAGCACUUUGUGCACUCGUCAGGGCCGCGAGCAGGAAGACAAGCUGCCCAGGGGGCAUGCGCAUGCUGGAUAAGGCAGGGUUGGAGACCCCUGGGAUAAGGUACUUCCGGUUUCCAGCACACGCAUGCACACCAGGAAGCAAGUCUUCCAGUUACUGCCGCACACGAGCCGAUCAGCUGGCUGGCGCACAUGCUCACCCCCGGAAAAUUGAAGACCAGCUCUUCUUGUUUCCUGCACUGUUGCACGCAUAAGGUCACCUGAUCAUCAUGUGCACAUGUGCGCUAGAAACCUGGAAGUGGAAUGGGCAAUGCCGCGUAUGCCAGGUGACUUGGCUCCGUGUGCUAUUUCGGGCAUGCGUACCAUAGGUUCGUCAUCACGGUCCUAGGACCACCAAAGUCCCAGCAGCUUUACUGGAUUCCAGUCUUACUAGAACAUGGCUAUUUUUCUUCCCCCCCCCCCUCAGGAUUCCCAAACUGUGGACAAAAAACCUUGUAUCUGAGGGCUUGGCGUUUAUUUUGCGUUUGUUUUGAUGUUGUACCCAGUAACAUCUGGGUUUGUACAAACAAAUCGUGCCAUUAUCCAGAGAGGUCCAGUUUCAUAUCAAGAGCAGUAAGUCAUAACAUUGCCUGAAACGUAUGAGAAAUUAAUCCACUAAACGGGUUGUAUCCAUACGUUAUUUUUUCUGACCUUCCAAGCUAGCGUCAUUCCAGCUGUUUAGAAUGGGUUGCGUUUAACAGCAAAUCCAUGUAGGCGUUUUGGGAAAUCUUUUUUCUCCUGAUUUAAAAAAAAAGCACAAUUUUUUAAAGAGGGGAAAUCCUGAUUUAUUACGCUCUUUUUCUUUUUUUUUUCCUUCUUUUCCUCUUGAACAUGUCCUAAUAGAGGGACCCAACACCUCAGGAAGCUAGACCUGCACCUGUGCUUUUUUCAUUUGUGUCACUGCAGCUGCCUUAUUGGAGUAAGUUGAGCGUUUUUGACUCCCCCUUUUUUUAAAAAAAAAGCUGUUGGACUUCGAUUCUGCUUUAUUUUUAUCGGCAAUUUUGAAUUCCGUGACCUAUUAUGGGAACCCUUAAUUUCCACAAUCCCAAAUUCCUUUUUUUUUUUUUUUGAAAUCAAAAUGCUGCCCUAAGGAAUUUUUGUGUGUGAUCCUCGCUACCGGUUUCGUCGUUUGAACCGGUUGUCUGAGAGGGGUGAUGUUUUGCAACUAGCAAUGCAAUUUUUUUCUAAAUCUGCUAAUCUUUCCAGUUUAGAAAAGUGUGUCCUUGAUAUAUUUCUUUUUAUUGUUGUUGUUGGUUUUGUUCUGUGUGUGAUCAAUCAAGGCUAUUGCAGAACAGUAAUUUUGUUAUUUGAUUCAAUGGAAUUUCUUUGCUUAAAAAAAAAUAAAGACGUUAACUAAG